CUGUGAAGAGUCCCAUAAUAGGACGAAACGGCUGUCCAG
rnacentral:hammerhead_ribozyme from 1 species